UAAGAGGUAUAUCACCCAAACCAAAAAAUCGAAUAGAAACUGAUAUAAAAAAAUCUCAUAAUUCUCUCUCGCCGGAGCUCCGGCUACCACCAUAACCGUACAACCUCCCUCUCUCCACCACUUCCACUUACUAACCGUCAAAAUUUCAUCAUCAUCAUCAACAUCAUCUUAUUCACACACCUGCAAUUUCCGAUCUAUUAUCAAAACCCUAACGAAACUCACGGCGGCUGAACUUCCUCCGACAGAAACUGAAGCUAGGGAUGCGAAAGUGAAGAAGACAAAGAAAGCUUCUGCUGCACAAAACACUAAAAACCUGUUGUUCAUCCUCCGUACUCCGAGGUAUGAUUAGCUUGGAACACAAAAGCAUGGCUUAGUAAGCCAAAGUGUGGGUCAUUAAAUUGCAACAACGCCAAUAUCAAUGGAAGGUCAUCUCGACACACCGGUGGAUCUAUGAAAACUGGAUUUAUGUAGAGAAGGACAUAUGGUCGGGAACCUACAUUUAAAGAACUCUUCCUACAAACCCACCUCACCAAAGAAUGUAAAUAAAAGUUAAGGAUAGGUGAGAUUAGCAUAUAUGACAUGAAUGAUUUGAAGUUUUGGACAAACCAAUCCGAAGAAGUAUAUGGGGGGCCUGCUUGGAGGCGUUGCAUGAUAUUCACGGGUCGGACCUCACUGAUAGUCCUGAUGACCCUGAGGUGUGGACUCGUGUGCAGGCAGGAGGUCAUAGGACACCCGGGUAUUUGGGGUAGGAUCUUCAGAUCUGCAUUACAUGGUGAGUUGGACAUCAUCAUCUUCUAAUGGGUGUGCACCAUCAUCUGUUGAGUACCAACGAUCCAUAGAAGAGGUAUCAUGUUCAAUUUCAAGAUAUUUGUUAUGUUGAUCUAAUUGCUCUGGUGACAAGUAUAGGUUUAGCUUGAUAUUGAUGAAGCCACAAUUAAGUUAGGAAUUUAGAAUGUAUAAUGGGACCUGGUGUUUAGUUUGAACUUCCACAGGUUGGUAUGGUUAUGGUCUGGUUGAGUGGCUUAGUGGCUUGGGGUUAGGGCAUGGUUUGUCUGGUUGGGCUUGUUUGGUUAGUGGAUUUGGUACCAUGUUUAGAUGGUGGCUAUUUGGGUUGGUUAGCAGGUUUAGAUUUUUGUUAUUCAUCUCUUAUAUCAAAAAUUGUGCUAAAAUAAGAUGGUUUUAGUAAUUAACUAAAAGUAAAUUCAAAGUACAAUAUAUACCGAUGUUUACUGAUAUUAGUAUGCUUAGUAAACUUGUGAAAUUGGUCAGAUAUUCGGUCAUUGAUGUAUUGUUUAUUAUUUAAUACCUUUGAACAAAUUUUUAGGCUCAAGCAAUGCGAGUAAAUGACGCAAGACAAAGAGAAAAACGUUAAACUAAAAAUUCGGUUUUAGUCAAAAGCAACGUUUUAACAAAAAUAAGUAGUAUGAGAUGGUUUAGGUAAUCAUAAACUCACAUAAGGCCGAAGGUGGCAAUUAGAUAUACCCGAGUGACGAGGUAUGAAGUGACGGUGACUAAUCAGUCUAGCCGGUAAAACCGUUCAAAGUCAAAAUAAUGUUAUGACUUAUACAAAGUGCUCGUCAAUAUAAGAUUAGUGUGGAGUAAACAUGUUGAUGGACUAAUACUACCGAGUGGUCAAAUGACAACUUGGUCAAAUAGGCAAUAAAGAUAAGAAAUAUAAGAUGAAAGUUACGGUCCGUGAGGACUUACACAUGAAAGAUGCACACGUUAAUACAAAGGAUAACUUUUGACUGAAAAGAAUGAAUGCCUUGAAAAUGAAACUAAGUUCGUUUGGUCUUAACCAAUGAACCAUAUAAAGAAGGUUUCGGGGACGAAAUCUCUUUAAGGGGGUAGACUUGUAACACCCCAAAAACGGGUUUGAUAAUCAAACCACGUUAAUAUUAGUGAACGGGUAAAAUACCAUUAGUGGUAAAAAUUAACCCGGUAAAUAUUAGGAUUUAAAUAAAUAAACCUAAUAUUAAAUAAAAAGAGAAUAAAAGCUUUUGAGGAAAUAAGGUUCAUAAGAGCCUGAGUUAGCGGGACUUAAAAAAAUGGGUCAUAACCUCCCCGAACCCACUAAAUUAACUAGGAAUGUUUAACCUAGUUAAUUAGAGGAAAUAUUGCUAAAAUAAGUAAGUUGAAACCUACUUGAUAACUAGCCAAAAUAUGAGGGACUAAAGAGGGAGAUCGACCAGGAGCAAGAAAACAAGGGUGUAAACCCUAGUUCAACAAAUCUUCAAAUUGAAGGAGGAAUCGAAGACCAAAUUCUGAUUUGAAUGUAUAUAAAUGAUCACCUAGUCAUGGGGAUCAUAAGGUAUGUCAUAAAACAUAGAUUGGUUAAAUUUGAAAUUUGAGACAAGUAUGUUACUUGCAAAUAGAUUGUUGGAUUAUGAUCCAAAGUUGAAAUUGAAUGUUUAUGUAUGUUUAAUUUCGUUAGUUAUGAUGAAAAUAUGAAGAACUUGAUGUAAUGGUACUUGUAAGUGAUUAACAAGUAAACUAGGAAGUGGGUUUUGACUAAAUAGUGAAGAUGAUGAUAUACAUGUGCUUAAAAUCAUCAUAAUUGAUAGUUGAAGCAAGAUACUUGAACAAUUCAUAGGCUCGAGUGAAUGCUCAUACAUGACUUGAAGUGGGUUUUGUAUGCUAUGAUGAAAUUUGGUAAUUAUGUUCAUGUAAAUAGGUGUAUGAAGUCAUGUUAUCUACUAGUUGGUAUGUAGAACUUGAUUAUAUUAGGUGUUCGGAUGAAUGCUAGUGAUAUGAUGUAACGGGUUUCACUUAUAGAUGAGAACCCUUAGUUUUUGCGAAAUGGAUGAAUAAGUUAGCUUUGAUAAUCACUUGAACUAGUUGAGGUGUUGGAAAUAUAAUGAACUUGGUUAAAAGAUUAGUUAAAAAUGGUGGCUUAAAAUAACGCCUACUGGGUAAUUGGGGAACGCCUAAAUUAGUUGAUGAACUUGAUUGUGCAUUUCAUAUACUAACGGGCAUUUAACUUUUAAAAAGUCAAACUGACCUAUAAUACGAUGAAUGAUAAUUUUGAUAUAAAGUGCGUAAGGUGGAAUAAUCGUAUUAACUUAUGAUUAAUCUAACCGCCUUGUGAAUGAUGAAUGAUAGUUUGACGCUUAACAAGCUAGGUGGAAGCUUAGGGAGGAAACGGGUCAAACGAAUCAAGUAUGAAAAGAGAAGCGUAGUUUGGAUGCGAGGUUUCAAAACAGAACUAGCUGGAAAAGAGUACUCCUCGCGCCAUGCGACAAAGGAGAAAAUCCUGGCACGACACGCGACAGGUGUCGGGCACGCAAAAAUGAUAUCAAUUCCCGUCGCGUCACACGACGGGUGUUAAAAUCAGCAAAAGUUGUCGAUGUUUGUGAAUUGCUUGUUUUGACGCAUGAACUUGUUCGGGCAUGUUUUUAAACGCCAAAUGACUAAAUCAUUUCAUGUUUUAUGAAAUGUAGGAAUAUUGUACGGUACCGGAGGACAAUCAAGCUCGAUAAAGAACCAAACACGAUUAAGAAUUCAAGCUUCCGCAUUAGAUUUCGUCGGCAUGUUUUAAAUGGCGAAAUUAUAUACAAGAUGUUGGAAUGUUUUAUGUCUUAAAAUUUUUUAACAAACUCGUAUUUUCACCUGGAGGUUUAAUCGUA
rnacentral:lncRNA from 1 species